rnacentral:lncRNA from 1 species
UUGACGGCCGACAGGAGAGGAUCACCGGAAGGAGUGCCGCCGGCUCGUCGUCUUUCACACCGGGUGAAGGAGCAGGGGAGGCGGGCAACAAGGAUGGGAAGCAUCGGGCCGUCAUGGUGCGGUGGAGAUGCUGGGAAGAAGGAGGAGGGCGUCUGCAUCAUCCCCAGGGGUGCUCGUGGAGCUGCUCCUCAAUGAGAUCCACCAUGGAGCAAGCCGUCGUGGCAGCACAUCCCCGCCCCCUCUGAGGCAAUAGAUCAAGCACACCAUCAAACUGAGGUGAGCCACCACUAGCCCCAGCUCUUCUCCUCCCGGGUCCCUUUCUCACCGAGCUCACGCUGCUGCCCGGUUGAAGCACAAGCAGACGGUGUAAACGGCCGCCCAAUCUCACUGUAUUUGUCCCUCAAGCAAGUGCACACACUCUUGCCCUCUCCUGAAUUUUUUCCCUCCUUCCAAUGCCUUGCUCCUAGAACUUCUCAUAUUUGCUUGUACAUAUUUUGUUUCUGUACGCUUGCAAGGUGCUUGAUGAAAAACCCAUAAGGCUGGUAGGGGAGUAGUAGUCUAUGUAAGCCACGUGAGUUCAUUUUUCAAAAAAUUAGUUUCAGUCAAUCAUAACAAGAUGAUUUUGAGAUUAAUGAGAAUCCAUGAGGUGAAUAAAAGUAUAAAGAAACAAAAAAAUAUUUGGUCAAAACAUUAGUUCCAGUCAACUAUAACAAGAAUCCAUGAGUUAGAUCUUUGCUUCUAUGUAUGAGGUCGUCGACCCUUCAGAAUUCUCCAUGAUGAUUUUACCAAUAAAUUUGCAUUUGGUAACUUGAUUUCCUUCCCUGAUGUAUAAGCAUGUAGGAGACAUGAAAUUGUGUAUAUUUUGCCAUCGUGAGGUUAUUCUUAGGUUUUCUUAUGUUCUGUUUUAUCCUUCUCGGACGCGGAUAGGAAAAGAAAACUGAAACAUGUUCACUAAAAUGCCUGCUUUCCAGGCCUUUGUUUUCAUGUAGCGAUGUAUUUUAGUGUACACUUACCUGACUACAUGUGCUACUGCAUCUUUUGUUUAUCGCUAGAACUGUUGUCCGUACCAAAUGUGCAAAUUGUACCAACUUCAUACAAUGAGCUAUGCCUGAUAGUUAUUGUAGUCAUUUCCCCUCCUAAAAGUAUCGUUUUCCUAUUUGUAGGAGCUUCAGUAAGGUUGCUCACCAAUGAGCCGGAAGUGUUUUUGUCCUGGGUACUUGCAUGAUUGAAGAUGAAAUUGGGUAUUCCAAAAUGUGCUAUUGCAGAUCAAAGGUGAACUCAUCCCAUUUUCUUACUUCAAUCUCGGGUGAAUAUUUUCCUGUCCACUAACAUUCUCUUUUAUGUAAUUAUUUCAUUGAUCCAUGACGUCGGCCAUCCUUUGUUUGAAUGUUUAGCUUGCUUUUCG